UUUGCCUCUCAUGAAAUCACUGUAG
rnacentral:piRNA from 1 species